GCUAAAAAACUGGAGUGGUUGUAUUCUUAUAUGAUCCGUUUACGGUUGCCCGGAGGUUUUUUGACACCGGAGCAAUGGAUAGGAUUGCAUCAUAUUGCCGGCGAACAUUCAACAGGUACUAUAAAAAUUACAACCCGGCAAACGGUACAAUUGCACGGAAUCUUAAAAUC
rnacentral:misc_RNA from 1 species